GGAAAAGAAGUAAGACUCGUUUCGACAUCCUCUCCCAAACCACAGAAGCAGAAAUCAACACUCGUUAUUACAUUAUUAAACCGUAUCCAUUUAUUUUUCUCUCUGUUAAUAGUGAAACAUCCCCAGAAUAAAGGAAUGAUGGCAUCGAGACGGCUAAUUAACACACACCUAUCACUCCUGAGGGCGACGCUGACGAAGGGAGGAGGAGGAGGAAUAGGAGGAGGAAGGAGGGACUGUCACGGAGGAAGCAUCAGGGAAGGAGGAGGAGGUUUUGCUAAGAGGGCCGUGGCGAAGGAGGAGCAAUACUUCAGAGAGGAGGAACGCCGUCAGAUCAAAGAACUGAAGAAGGAGCUGCAGAGGGGUCGUUUGCAGUCCAGGAGCCAUCGGUCGGAGCUGCUGGAGGAAGAGGUGGAGAGGCAGAAGGAGAGAGCGGAGGAGCAUGCGAAGAAGGCGGCGUUCCACAGGGAGGGCAUGGAGAGCCACCGCAGAGAAUGGGAACGCCACCUCAGCAGGAUCGAAUACCACAACGAGAAGGAGAGGGUAUUGAGGGAGAAGAUAGAGAGGAUCAAGGAGGAAAAAGAGAAGGAGAAGGAGGAGGGAGAGGAGUAGGGGACAGUUUAUUAGAAUCGAGUACCACUAUAGAAGGAAAAGAUGUUGAGGGAGAAGAUAGAGAGGAUCAAGGAGGAAAAAGAGGAAGAGGAGGAGUAAUAGGGAGGGAGUUGAGGGUGAGGAAUAAAGAGGAAAAAGAGGAGGAUGAGGAGUGAUACAUGAGAGCUUCUUAGGUUCGAAUACCAUAAAGAGGAGGAAGAAAGGGAGUUCAAGUAGAUUGGAGGGAAUUAAAAACGACAAAGAGAAUCAAGAAGAGUGAUUGGAUACCUUCUUUUGGGGUUAAAUGUUACAGAUAGAAGGAUUAAGGGGAUUGAAGUAGAAACUGAAGAGGAUCAAGGAGGGAUAGGAAGAUCAAGGGUGAGAUGUAACAUGUUCUUAGGUUCUAAUACCACAGCGAGAAGGAAAGGGUGUUGAGGGGGAAGAUGGAGAGGAUUAAGGAGGAAAAGGAGAAGGGUGCGGAGUAAUAUAAUGAGUUAAGGACGAAGAGGAGGAAGAGGAGUUGGUUUACUUAUUAUUUCGUUGUGUUUAUUAAUUAAGUCGUUUCGUUAUUAAGUAAAAUGUAAAAUUGCAUGAGUGGCUGCAUGGUAAGCUUUCUUUUCUUUCUUUAUCAUUUAAGCAACAAAAAGGAGAAAAAAAAUAGUUGCUUUAAAGAUUAACUCCUCUGCUAAGUAAAAAAAUAUUACUGAUUUUUAAGGAAACAGAAGAACAUACGAUUUAUGAUUAUUUUCUGUAUAUUUUUGUACCGUAAGAGCUGAUUGCCUCUAAUAAAAAUACAA